rnacentral:rRNA from 1 species
UACGUAGGUGGCAAGCGUUUGUCCGGAUUUAUUGGGUUUAAAGGGUGCGUAGGCGGUUCCAUAAGUCAGUGGUGAAAUACGGCAGCUCAACUGUCGAGGUGCCAUUGAUACUGCGGAACUUGAGUACUGAUGAGGUAGGCGGAAUUGACGGUGUAGCGGUGAAAUGCUUAGAUAUCGUCAAGAACACCGAUAGCGAAGGCAGCUUACCAAGCAGUAACUGACGCUGAGGCACGAAAGUGCGGGGAUCAAACAGG